UACGUAGGGGGCAAGCGUUGUCCGGAAUCAUUGGGCGUAAAGAGCGUGUAGGCGGCCCGAUAAGUCCGCUGUGAAAGUCCAGGGCUCAACCCUGGGAUGCCGGUGGAUACUGUCGGGCUCGAGUCCGGAAGAGGAGUGUGGAAUUCCUGGCGUAGCGGUGAAAUGCGCAGAUAUCAGGAGGAACACCAAUGGCGAAGGCAGCACUCUGGGACGUGACUGACGCUGAGACGCGAAAGCGUGGGGAGCAAACAGG
rnacentral:rRNA from 1 species